AGCGCAGCUGGUAGCGCAUCUGGUUUGGGACCAGAGGGUCGCAGGUUCAAAUCCUGUC
rnacentral:tRNA from 1 species